GACUCUCGGCAACAGAUAUCUCAGCUCUCGCAUCGAUGAAGAACGUAGCGAAAUAUGAUACUUGGUGUGAAUUGCAGAAUCCCGUGAACCAUUGAGUCUUUGAACGCAAGUUACGCCCAAAGCUUUUAGGCCGAGGCCACGUCUUCCUGGGCGUCA